rnacentral:lncRNA from 1 species
GCGGAAAUGCAAGCCGAGCAUGCUGGCGUGAAAGCCCCCGGGGCCUGGCACCCCCAAAAACGACCCCCCACCUCCGUUCCUGCCCUCAUUGCCCAGGGCUACCCCUCUUCCUCUUCUUUCAUCCACCCCUCCCCCAACAUUACCUGUGUGGCCGACUCAAAUUCAAAGCAUUUUGUAUAUAUAACUGUUUUCUUUUUUUGCUUUUCUGCUGCAUGUCUUUUUCGUGGGGGGUGAUCCUCUGCAGAUCCCCCCAUUUGCGGACCCGCCAUGUGGAGGAGGCAUUUGGGGGGCUCAGAAGGAAAUUAGCUCGGCUUCCAUACCUAUAAGGACUGCCUAACUUUUAAACUCCCGGCACUCAAAGAUGUGGACACACACACGUACAGGAAAUACAGCCAGACCAGAGCCUUUGCAGUCCGCAGCUGACCGGAAGACGUUGCCUUUCAUUCAUUCAUUCUGCCCGCCUCUGUGGACUCCUUUACUAGGCGACCAGCCCUGAAACAGAAGUUGGACAUUUUUUAAAGGUUCUUGCGCUCGGCAAGGGGAGCAGAUAGAUGCUCAGGAGCGAAAGACGCAGAGAAUUGGAUCUGGCGCCUCCUAACGCAGCCCGCACAGGAGCGAAGGAGAGUGUGACGAUCCCCCUGAUGCGGCUGAGAUGUUCUGAAAUGAAGACGUUGGCUCUCAUCCCCAGCCUGA